AAAAAGUUGAAAAUUGGUGUCGUUUUGUCGGGAGGCCAGGCACCUAGAGGGCACAAUGUCAUUUCUGGAAUUUUUGAUUACUUGCAGGAGCGUGCUAAAGGCAGCGUAUUGUACGGUUUCAGGGGAGGUCCAGCUGGAAUCAUGAAGGGCAAGUAUGUGGAACUUACACCAGAAUAUAUUUACCUGUACAGAAACCAGGGUUGUUUUGAUAUGAUAUGUAGUGGAAGAGAUAAGAUUGAAACU